rnacentral:rRNA from 1 species
GAUGAACGCUGGCGGCGUGCCUAAUACAUGCAAGUCGAGCGAACAGACGAGGAGCUUGCUCCUCUGACGUUAGCGGCGGACGGGUGAGUAACACGUGGAUAACCUACCUAUAAGACUGGGAUAACUUCGGGAAACCGGAGCUAAUACCGGAUAAUAUAUUGAACCGCAUGGUUCAAUAGUGAAAGACGGUUUUGCUGUCACUUAUAGAUGGAUCCGCGCCGCAUUAGCUAGUUGGUAAGCUAACGGCUUACCAAGGCGACGAUGCGUAGCCGACCUGAGAGGGUGAUCGGCCACACUGGAACUGAGACACGGUCCAGACUCCUACGGGAGGCAGCAGUAGGGAAUCUUCCGCAAUGGGCGAAAGCCUGACGGAGCAGCGCCGCGUGAGUGAUGAAGGUCUUCGGAUCGUAAAACUCUGUUAUUAGGGAAGAACAAAUGUGUAAGUAACUAUGCACGUCUUGACGGUACCUAAUCAGAAAGCCACGGCUAACUACGUG